rnacentral:rRNA from 1 species
UGGGGAAUAUUGCACAAUGGGCGCAAGCCUGAUGCAGCCAUGCCGCGUGUAUGAAGAAGGCCUUCGGGUUGUAAAGUACUUUCAGCGGGGAGGAAGGCGCUGGGGUUAAUAACCCUGUCGAUUGACGUUACCCGCAGAAGAAGCACCGGCUAACUCCGUGCCAGCAGCCGCGGUAAUACGGAGGGUGCAAGCGUUAAUCGGAAUUACUGGGCGUAAAGCGCACGCAGGCGGUCUGUUAAGUCAGAUGUGAAAUCCCCGGGCUUAACCUGGGAACCGCAUUUGAAACUGGCAGGCUUGAGUCUUGUAGAGGGGGGUAGAAUUCCAGGGGUAGCCGUGAAAUGCGUAGAGAUCUGGAGGAAUACCGGUGGCGAAGGCGGCCCCCUGGACAAAGACUGACGCUCAGGUGCGAAAGCGUGGGGAGCGAACAGG